CCCUCAAGAUGAGAUAUCCCAUUCGAAAGAAGUAAGACCCCUUGAAGACGACGAGGUAGAUAGGGCAGAGGUGGAAGUGCCGUAAGGCAUGGAGCUGACUGUUACUAAUCGGUCGAGGGCUUGACCUG
rnacentral:rRNA from 1 species